UGGCUCAGAUUGAACGCUGGCGGCAGGCCUAACACAUGCAAGUCGAGCGGUAGCACAAGAGAGCUUGCUCUCUGGGUGACGAGCGGCGGACGGGUGAGUAAUGUCUGGGAAACUGCCUGAUGGAGGGGGAUAACUACUGGAAACGGUAGCUAAUACCGCAUGACGUCUUCGGACCAAAGUGGGGGACCUUCGGGCCUCACGCCAUCAGAUGUGCCCAGAUGGGAUUAGCUAGUAGGUGGGGUAAUGGCUCACCUAGGCGACGAUCUCUAGCUGGUCUGAGAGGAUGACCAGCCACACUGGAACUGAGACACGGUCCAGACUCCUACGGGAGGCAGCAGUGGGGAAUAUUGCACAAUGGGCGCAAGCCUGAUGCAGCCAUGCCGCGUGUAUGAAGAAGGCCUUCGGGUUGUAAAGUACUUUCAGCGAGGAGGAAGGCAUUGUGGUUAAUAACCGCAGUGAUUGACGUUACUCGCAGAAGAAGCACCGGCUAACUCCGUGCCAGCAGCCGCGGU
rnacentral:rRNA from 1 species